rnacentral:rRNA from 1 species
UAAACGCUGGCGGCGUGCCUAACACAUGCAAGUCGAACGCCCUUUUACGCAAGUGAGAGGGAGUGGCGGACGGGUGAGUAACACGUGGGUACCUACCUUGAGGUGAGGAAUACCACCGAGAAAUCGGUGACAAGACCGCAUGACUUCGGCAACGAAGAAAGUCACGCAAGUGACGCCCCAAGAUGGGCCUGCGCCUGAUUAGCUAGUUGGUGAGGUAAUGGCUCACCAAGGCGUCGAUCAGUAGCUGGUCUGAGAGGAUGAUCAGCCACACUGGGAUUGAGAACGGCCCAGACUCCUACGGGGGCAGCAGUGAGGAAUUUUCGUCAAUGGGGGCAACCCUGAACGAGCAACGCCGCGUGC